GAUGAACGCUGACGGCGUGCCUAAUACAUGCAAGUCGAGCGAACGGACGAUAAUCUUGCUUCUCUGUUGUUAGCGGCGGACGGGUGAGUAACACGUGGAUAACCUACCUAUAAGACUGGUAUAACUUCGGGAAACCGGAGCUAAUACCGGAUAAUAUUUUGAACCGCAUGGUUCAAAAGUGAAAGACGGUCUUGCUGUCACUUAUAGAUGGAUCCGCGCUGCAUUAGAUAGUUGGUAAGGUAACGGCUUACCAAGGCAACGAUGCAUAGCCGAACUGAGAGAGUGAUAGGCCACACUGGAACUGAGACACGGACAAGACUCCUAAGGGAGGCAGCAGUAGGGAAUCUGCCGCAAUGGGCGAAAGCAUGACGGAGCAACGCCGCGUGAGUGAUGAAGGUCUUCGGAGCGUAAAACUCGGUUAUUAGGGAAGAACAUAUGUGUAAGUAAAUGUGCACAGCUUGACGGUACCUAAUCAGAAAGCAACGGCUAACUACGUG
rnacentral:rRNA from 1 species